AGUCGAACGGAAAGGCCCUGCUUGCAGGGUACUCGAGUGGCGAACGGGUGAGUAACACGUGGGUGAUCUGCCCUGCACUUCGGGAUAAGCCUGGGAAACUGGGUCUAAUACCGGAUAGGAGCCAUUUUUAGUGUGAUGGUUGGAAAGUUUUUUCGGUGUAGGAUGAGCUCGCGGCCUAUCAGCUUGUUGGUGGGGUAAUGGCCUACCAAGGCGGCGACGGGUAGCCGGCCUGAGAGGGUGGACGGCCACAUUGGGACUGAGAUACGGCCCAGACUCCUACGGGAGGCAGCAGUGGGGAAUAUUGCACAAUGGGCGCAAGCCUGAUGCAGCGACGCCGCGUGGGGGAUGACGGCCUUCGGGUUGUAAACUCCUUUCGCUAGGGACGAAGCUUUUUGUGACGGUACCUAGAUAAGAAGCACCGGCUAACUACGUGCCAGCAGCCGCGGUAAUACGUAGGGUGCGAGCGUUGUCCGGAAUUACUGGGCGUAAAGGGCUCGUAGGUGGUUUGUCGCGUCGUCUGUGAAAUUCCGGGGCUUAACUCCGGGCGUGCAGGCGAUACGGGCAUAACUUGAGUACUGUAGGGGUAACUGGAAUUCCUGGUGUAGCGGUGAAAUGCGCAGAUAUCAGGAGGAACACCGAUGGCGAAGGCAGGUUACUGGGCAGUUACUGACGCUGAGGAGCGAAAGCAUGGGUAGCGAACAGGAU
rnacentral:rRNA from 1 species